rnacentral:tRNA from 1 species
ACUCUUACUUCUUUGGGGUCUGGCUUUGCAAAAGCCAAAAAGUGAUUAAUUAUAGGUUUCACUGAGAGUG